UCAAAUUAACUUUAAUGAUAUCAAAUAUCAACAACAUCCCAUUGUAAUAAUUACAUCUCAUGAUAAGUAAUCCAAAAAAUGACACAUCAAUGAAGUUUUUAAGAGUGGGACACUACGUAGUUUUUUUUCCAAGACCUACUCCAAAAUAAUUUGACAGCCAAUGCUUUUUGAAAUUGUGCAACAUCAUCUUGUUGGUAAUAUGAAUUGACAUCAGGUCAGUGGGCCAAGACCUCCAAGAACUGCAACAAAAAUGCUCCACAAUCACCACUAAAAACAUUCAUAUAAAUCAAUCGUUAAAAAUCACCAUUGUUAUUGUUAAGUCGAAAAAAUAUAAUUUCAAUUCGUAGUAAAAAUAAUACUUCAAAUUUAUUAUCACUGUCGUAAUAUAUUAUCAAUCUACUAAAUGAUCACACAACAUAAAAGCAACAGGUAUGAGAACUUUUUACAACUUAAAAAUGUUCUAUAUAUAAGACAACAUGACUUUCUUACAACUAGCAUCUACAAGAUCAGCAUAACUAUAUUAUUUCAAGAACAAACCCAUCAAAUUAAAAUAUAUUGCCAAUAACUAUGAACUCAAAUAAUUUUUAAAUGAGUACUAAACAAAAAUAAGAAAUAAACCAUCACUGCCACAUGACAUAAAAAUCAAACUUUAUGUAUCAAGUAUGUUAACAAUUCCAAAUAAAGUAUAAAUAUUCAAAGAAAAUGUUGAAUUUUUCCAUAACACUCAAACAAUUAAUUUUCAUUAGUUAAAUCUGAUUAAUAAGCUAUUAAGUAUGUGUAUAAUUAUCAAAAACUAAAAACAAGUCUAGGACGAGUGUAUUAAAGGGCAAUUCUCCAAUAGUUAACUAGUUGGAAAUAUAUACAACAACAUUUGCUGCACAAUAAUAUCAAAUCCUAAAUGCUAUGUGACUUCUUCAGUCAAUAGCCUCACAGUGAGACAAAUUAAUAAAAUGAUCCAACAUUGUUUCAAAAUUCACAAGUCGUUCAAAACACAUUUAUUAAUAGUGUACUAUCAAUAGUUUUAUGCUUAAAUAAAUAGCAAAUUGUUAAUAAAUUAGAAUUGCAAAAUAAAGGUUCUAUAGCAAAUAAUAGAGAAAACCCAGAUUGUAGCAUAAUGAAUGCAUACGUAGCUGAAGAAAAUUGAUAUAUAAUUCCCAUGGAUGAAGUUCAACUACAAACAACAAGUAAAAUUAUAUAAAGAUCUAAUGCAUAAACUAGUGUAGCCAUAACCGAGUAUUCAUAAGGAUAAUAUUUGUUUUAUCCAAUUCUCUAUGAAUAUUUAAUUAGGAACUCCCACAACCAUUAUUAAAGAGCCAUGAAAUCACUCUCUUCAAUUUCAAAUCCACAAGUUCAGGAAGCUUCAUUACAUUACCAACAAGAAAGAUUAUCAGUAAAUAAGCAAGAUAAUGACUAAAAUCAUGUGGGUAAUUUGUUUUUUAAAACCCUAAUGCAUAUAACCCUAACAAUUAUGCACCAUAAAUUCUCUUUAUAAAGUAAAAAUCAAGUGUAAAUGUGGUUAAUGACCUUUAGUUCGGUAAAUUUCCAGCCUUUAAUUCGGUGAUUUUGUAACCUUUAAUGUGGUGGAUGAACUUGCAGCAGCAGGAGCAUGAACUUGCAACAGCAGGCGUUGUGUAUGGUAGCUCGUGAAGGUAGAUUUUGAAAUUUGAAGAAUUAAAUUAGGGUAAUUCUGUAAUUGCACAUUGAAAAAGGUAUAUAAAAGAAAUUUUAAAUUAUGGGGAUGUAGUUGGAUAAAUACCUAACCUUUUAGGGUAUGGCGGGGACAAAUCCCUGUCUGUCCUGCACAGGCCAAAUCCUUUCGUUAUCAUCUUUACAAAAGCAAACGCCCUCCACAUUUUGUGCUCUGCUUCUUCUCCAUGGAUUCCGCCAACGCAUCAUCAGAAGUCGCCCAUGACUUCUCUCCUUUGAUAAAAGUACACAAAGACGGCAAAGUAGAAAGGCUUAGGGGCACCGAUAUCGUUCCCCCAUCACUUGAUCCCAAAACAAACGUUGAUUCCAAAGACGUUGUGUAUUCUCCUGAAAAUAAUUUAUCUGCUCGGCUUUAC
rnacentral:lncRNA from 1 species